UUGAACCUGAGAGUUUGAUCCUGGCUCAGAACGAACGCUGGCGGCAUGCCUAACACAUGCAAGUCGAACGAAGGCUUCGGCCUUAGUGGC
rnacentral:rRNA from 1 species